rnacentral:rRNA from 1 species
UACGAAGGGUGCAAGCGUUACUCGGAAUUACUGGGCGUAAAGCGUGCGUAGGCGGUUUGUUAAGUCCGUUGUGAAAGCCCUGGGCUCAACCUGGGAAUUGCAGUGGAUACUGGCGAGCUAGAGUGCGGUAGAGGAUGGUGGAAUUCCCGGUGUAGCGGUGAAAUGUGUAGAGAUCGGGAGGAACACCGGUGGCGAAGGCGGGUCUCUGGGCAAUUCCUGACGCUGAGGCGCGAAAGCGUGGGGAGCAAACGGG